rnacentral:rRNA from 1 species
UACGUAGGGUGCGAGCGUUGUCCGGAAUUAUUGGGCGUAAAGGGCUCGUAGGCGGUCUGUCGCGUCGGUAGUGAAAACUCAGGGCUCAACCCUGAGCCUGCUUCCGAUACGGGCAGACUAGAGGUAUGCAGGGGAGAACGGAAUUCCUGGUGUAGCGGUGAAAUGCGCAGAUAUCAGGAGGAACACCGGUGGCGAAGGCGGUUCUCUGGGCAUUACCUGACGCUGAGGAGCGAAAGUGUGGGGAGCGAACAGG